rnacentral:rRNA from 1 species
CCUACGGGGGGCAGCAGUGGGGAAUAUUGGACAAUGGGCGAAAGCCUGAUCCAGCCAUGCCGCGUGUGUGAAGAAGGCCUUCGGGUUGUAAAGCACUUUCAGUGGGGAAGAAAGCCUUGGGGCUAAUACCCUCGAGGAAGGACAUCACCCACAGAAGAAGCACCGGCUAACUCCGUGCCAGCAGCCGCGGUAAUACGGAGGGUGCGAGCGUUAAUCGGAAUUACUGGGCGUAAAGCGCGCGUAGGCGGUCUGAUAAGCCGGUUGUGAAAGCCCCGGGCUCAACCUGGGAACGGCAUCCGGAACUGUCAGGCUAGAGUGCAGGAGAGGAAGGUAGAAUUCCCGGUGUAGCGGUGAAAUGCGUAGAGAUCGGGAGGAAUACCAGUGGCGAAGGCGGCCUUCUGGACUGACACUGACGCUGAGGUGCGAAAGCGUGGGUAGCAAACAGGAUUAGAUACCGUGUAGUC